rnacentral:rRNA from 1 species
CAGUCGCCGCGGUAAUACGAAGGGGGCUAGCGUUGCUCGGAAUGACUGGGCGUAAAGGGCGCGUAGGCGGCUGACACAGUCAGAUGUGAAAUUCCUGGGCUCAACCUGGGGACUGCAUUUGAGACGUGUUGGCUUGAGUGGAGAAGAGGGUCGUGGAAUUUCCAGUGUAGAGGUGAAAUUCGUAGAUAUUGGAAAGAACACCGGUGGCGAAGGCGGCGACCUGGUCCUUAACUGACGCUGAGGCGCGAAAGCGUGGGGAGCAAACAGGAUUAGAUACCCCUGUAGUCCCUGUCUCUUAUCA